UAGCAAGAUGAAGUCACAGACCCAGGUCCUCAUAUCCCUGCUGCUUUGGGUGUCUGGUACCUGUGCAGACAUCUUAAUGACUCAGUCUCCAUCCUCCCUUGCUGUGUCAUCAGGAGAGAAAGUCUCCAUCAGCUGCAGGUCCAGUCAGAGCCUUUUAUACAGCAGCAACCAAAAGAACUACUUGGCUUCGUACCAGCAGAAACCAGGGCAGUCCCCUAAGCUGCUGAUCUACUUUGCAUCCACUCGGGAUACUGGGAUCCCUGAUCGCUUCACAGGCAGUGGAUCUGGGACAGACUUUACUCUCAGCAUUAACAGUGUGCAGGCUGAAGAUCUGGCAGUUUAUUACUGUCAACAGUAUUAUAGUACUCCUCCCACAAUGGUUCAGCCUCCAACACAAACCUCAUUGAAAGUCUCACCAGCUGUCUUCACCACACACAGCCCUGGCCCUCAACACUUCCCUCUUUUGCCUGGUAGCAAGUAUGCCUGA